AACAAUUAACUUGCUGUGAAGCUGUGAAGUGGAAGAGCUGCAUUUCAAACCCAGCUAUUCUGCCUUGACGUUCACAUAGACCAUUUCUUCCCUGAUGCUGUGGCAUGGCAUCACUGCAUAGCCUGACAAGCUGCUUGGAAUAUUAACCAAAGGGAUGAGACAUUAGUCCAGCUUCACACACAGCUCCUCCAGCAGGGCAGCCCUGUUCCCGUGACACCGCUGAGCCACAGACAUCUGGCAGGCUCGUCAAGAGACAGGGAAAAUGAGGGAGCUUUUUCUGUCUGUGCUAAAGUGGAUGUCAACUGCCAUUUACUGGCCACUUAGUAAGUACCUGUUUAUGUGCUAAGUUUUGUACAGAGAUCUCUUCAUUGAGAGCCCCCAUCAACUCUGUAAGCUAGCUUCCACUGUCAUCCCCAUUUGACACGUGAGCACACUGAGGCUCUGUGAGGUUCCGUGACUUGCUGGAGGAUCCCACGCUGGAACAUGGGCCUGACUGGAAGACAGGAUUCAGUUCCAGAAGCUCCAUCAUUAAGCCUCCAGGGGAAGAGGAUGCGGCUGCCCACGCUCUGCCAGCUUUGCCGGGGCCUCUCCCCGGGGUUCCAAGUGCCUCUGAAAGCCGUGCUCCGAGGACGCCCAAGUUGGGAAAGUGGGCAGUGACAGCUCCACCGCCUCCCUCUCUAAUGGAGAGAGGUGUCUCUGUCCUUGCAACCAUCUGAUCCUAUUGUCGCACAGCUGAAGGAACCCAGUCUCAGAGACUAGCCCGCAUCACCGGGCCCCUAGCUGGCUCCUUCCCUGCAGUUCCACAGUAGGUCAGUCCUGGUUUCUGCAGCCAGGAAUUCAGCCUCUGUCCCCCUGGGACCGCUGGGAGGAGGGCAUGGUUGUUUUCCACAACAUCAACCCGCAAGAGUCAGGGAUGCUCCUUAACAACCUGCUAUGGAUUGACCAUGAAUUUAU